UACGUAGGGUCCGAGCGUUGUCCAGAAUUAUUGGGCGUAAAGGGCUCGUAGGCGGUCUGUUGCGUCGGGAGUGAAAACUUACAGCUUAACUGUGAGCGUGCUUUCGAUACGGGCAGACUUGAGGCAUUCAGGGGAGAACGGAAUUCCCGGUGUAGCGGUGAAAUGUGUAGAGAUCGGGAGGAACACCGGUGGCGAAGGCGGCCUUCUGGACGGUGACUGACGCUGAGGUACGAAGGCAUGGGUAUCGAUUGGG
rnacentral:rRNA from 1 species